AGGAAAUUAGGUUUAUUAUGAACAAUUUAUCAAUGUAUUUCUAAUAAAGUCUUCCCAUUAAUCUUAUUUAUACUGAACUUUACAUGUUUUUAGUAAUCAACUUCUGAAAAGAUCAGGAAAAAAGUUUUGAAUAGUAGAGAUCGGUGAACUUAUUCAUGUAAAUCUUUAUUAAUAUACGUAUUAAAGUGAUAUAAAGAUAAGUAAAAUGCUUCCCCUUAAUGAAAAAGAAAUACAUGAUUAUAGCUUAAAUUUAUACUCACCAUUUCAACUUUUACCAGUAGUUUGGGUGAAAAUAUUUAACUAGGUUGUGAUUUUAACAAUGGCAAUCAUAAUUUUUAAUUCACAGGCAUUUUGACAAUAUCCCUAUCGCCUAUUUUACUAGGCUCCUAAAUCUGGUUGUGGCAGAUUAUAUUUUCCAAAGAGAUGCUAGAGAUAUAUCCCAUCUGCCACGUGCUUCUUAAAAUAAGAUCUCCUCCCACAAAGAGAUGGGGAUCUGUGUUCUUUCCCCUUGAAUUUUUGUUACGGGGCCUGUGACUGCUGCUUGUACUAACAGGGUACAGGGGAAGUGAUGCUAUAGGACUUCUGAGGCCAUAAAGAGGAUGCAGCUCAUGGAUGAGUCACUCUCUUGGCACAGGAACCUUGGAAGCCCUAAACCGUCAUGGAAGACACCCAGCUGAAGUGAUCAUACUGGAGAGAACAUGUGGAGAGACAACAUGGAGACAGAGAAACAUGUGGGAGAAUCCUCAGCUGCUCCGGCCACCAGAUGCCUCAGUCUCUCUGGGACCAGAGGAGAAGUAUGGUAUUUUAUGAGAAGACAUGCUAUGAAUGAUGAAAGGCUCUAUUUCAGCAAGUCACAGGCAGAAAAGUCCAAAACAAUGGAAUAGAACUGCAGCAUUGUUGAAAGUAGGUACUUUUUUAUUAUUCUACAUACACUUUAAAAUCUAAAUAUUAUUGCUUUGUAUGAAAAGGUGGUCUGUACAUUUCUAUGCUAAAUAGCAUGCCUUCUUAAUAAUGUGUUUUGAUGGUUUGUUUAUAAGAGCAUAGGUACUCCUUGCUUUCAUUUUUACUAUCCAAAAAAUUAAACCAUCUGUAAGGCCCUCUACAACCAAAGCUCUCCUUUUCCCUCUAUCUGUCAGCAAGCACAAGGUGGGCUCUUGGGAAAGGACUUACCUUGCUUGUCUACUGCGGCAGCUCUGUUUUUCCCAGAUGGCUGCAGAUACACAGGCUGUACAGGA
ensembl:lncRNA